rnacentral:rRNA from 1 species
UACGAAGGGUGCAAGCGUUAAUCGGAAUUACUGGGCGUAAAGGGUGCGUAGGCGGUUCGUUAAGUCUGUUGUGAAAUCCCCGGGCUCAACCUGGGAAUGGCAAUGGAUACUGGCGGGCUAGAGUGUGUCAGAGGAUGGUGGAAUUCCCGGUGUAGCGGUGGAAUGCGUAGAGAUCGGGAAGAACAUCAGUGGCGAAGGCGGCCUGCUGGGCUGUUGCUGACGCUGAGGCGCGACAGCGUGGGGAGCAAACAGG